rnacentral:rRNA from 1 species
UACAGAGGGUGCAAGCGUUGUUCGGAAUUAUUGGGCGUAAAGGGAGUGUAGGCGGUUUGUUUAGUCUUCUGUGAAAUCUACGGGCUUAGCCUGUAACGUGCAGAGGAAACUGGCGAGCUUGAGUGUCGGAGAGGAUAGGGGAAUUCCCGGUGUAGAGGUGAAAUUCGUAGAGAUCGGGAGGAACACCAGUGGCGAAGGCGCCUAUCUGGCUGACAACUGACGCUGAGACUCGAAAGCAUGGGGAGCAAACAGG